GGUUGUGACUCAGUGGUAGAGUGCUCGCCUAGUAAGGGCAAGGCCCUGGGUUCAAUCCCCAGCACCA
rnacentral:tRNA from 1 species